GGGGUAGGAAUAACAUACAGGGCUUAAGUCUUGUAAUUGGAAUGAUGGGAAUCUAAACCCUUCCCAGAGUAUCAAUUGGAGGGCAAGUCUGGUGCCAGCAGCCGCGGUAAUUCCAGCUCCAAUAGCGUAUAUUAAAGUUGUUGCAGUUAAGAAGCUCGUAGUUGAAUUUCUGCCUUGUCAUUAAUCUCGCUUCCGAGCGUUUUUUUAUUGACUUGGCAUCUUCUGGAUUUGGUGCCUUCGGGUACUAUUUUCCAGGAUUUACUUUGAGAAAACUAGAGUGUUUCAAACAGGCAUUCGCCUUGAAUACUACAGCAUGGAAUAAUGAAGUAGGACUUUGGUUCUAUUUUGUUGGUUAUUGAGCCAGAGUAAUGGUUAAUAGGAGCAGUUGGGGGCAUUCGUAUUUAAA
rnacentral:rRNA from 1 species